CCCUAAUAUUAAUAAUUUUGUUAAUUAAUAUGUUAUAUAAGAAAAUUAAUGAUUUUGGCGGUUAUUUAUUUAUUAGAGGAGUUUGUUUUUAAUUAUGAGAAGUUACUCUUUAUAUUUUAAUUAUUUAGGUGUUAUUCAUCUCUGUCAUUUAAAUGGAGUGAUUAAAUAAAAUUUUAUUUGAUAUUUCAGGUCAAGAUGUACUAUAAAUAAAAUAAAAAUUAGCUAUAGUUAUUAAAAUAAUAGAAUGAAUAUAAUAAUUAGUAUAAAAGUAUAUAAUACUUAUUAUAAAAGUCACUAUAUACUAAAAUUAAAAGAUAUAUACGAAUUAAAUUUGGUUGUAAUGAUAGUUAGAAAGCUAUUAUGAAUAAUAAUAAUUAAUGAA
rnacentral:rRNA from 1 species